GGGACUGGACUGGAGAUCGGGCACUUGUACUCGGGAAAAGCUGAGAUAGGGAUUAGGGACUCGGAUUAAGAUUAACUCAUGCGAUUUGGGGUCGGUCGUCACAGCCUACCCCCCUUAAAGAGAAUCUCGUCCCGAGAUUCGGAUGUAGAAGUAACCGGUGGGGGUGUGCAGUCCUUACCUCCUUGGUUGGAGAGGAAACCUGGGAAAAGCUUGUUCAAGUACUCUUCUAUCUCCCAUGUAGCUUCAUCCUCCGUGUGGUUUCUCCAGAG
rnacentral:lncRNA from 1 species